rnacentral:lncRNA from 1 species
CCCAUUAAGAGAGAGGCGAGAGAAUCGCUCUCUUCUCUUUCUUCCCUGCGACCUCUUCUCCUCGUCGCAACCCCUGCUUUGCCCUAUGGCCAGAGAUGAAAAGGCGAUUUCGAGGCUCUCGCUGGGGACUUCUUCCUGUUAUGGUGUCUCAACAACUACCAUGGUGUGUCGGUUGUGUUGGAUCUAUUGGUAGCUCUCGACGGCUAAGGGUUUCGUGUCGUUACCCUCUUUCGUCUCUACUGCUUCUUCGGGUCUACCUAUUCCUCCGCCUGCUGAUAGGAGCUCCAUUUCCUCUGUUCUUCAAAGUUUCAGAAGGAAGUCGACCUUCUGGUUCUUGCCCACUUAAUGUUCUGUAGCCAACUCUUUAUGUACGGUGCUUCUGUGAUGUGACCGGAGUCGAGCCAAGCAACCUCUGCUUGCAUCAAUUAGCUCUCACCAGCUCUUCAACUAUGGCUACUCCUCCUCUGGUUGGAAUCUCAGGGACUGGUUUCAUUGACUUCCGGAGUGGACAUCGUCUGGGGUGGACUCUUCUGUGUUCUGAUGGCCGGACCAAGGCUUGGUCACCCUUGCUUCGCAUGUCGCCUUCGGGAUGGUCUGCGGUUCCUUGGACCGUUCUCCGGCUGAAAUCUCCAAUGAUCUCCGUUUUGCUUGUAUCCAGGUGCCGGUUUCUUGCCUCUUCAGAUUCUACUGAAACUGAACGUUUGUUCAUUGACACCAUACCCAAGCCAAGCUUUAAACAUUUUCUUAGGAAUGUGUUUAGACCUUUAUUGUUCUAAGGAAGUCUUUUUUACUUUUUUUUGUGGCUUACUUAGACACCAAUGCUUUAAUUAGCUUUCAUAGAUUCAUUAAGUUUGAUUUCAUCAAAACUACUGUAUCACCUUGUAUCAUUAACUUGUUUAAUGAAAAUUCACA